AGGAAUGGAAAGAACAGACCUGAAUCAUUUGAGAGUGGAAGGAGAAUAAAGAAAAUCAGAAAAAGCUGAUCCCAGCUACAGAACAACCUAAUACAGAAACAAAUAAAGGUGAAAAAACCAUACUGCUAUAGCUAUGGAAUGUACUGAAAUGCAGAUACUUGCUUUGUCCACCUUGGAACACAAACUGUUUUGGGUAAUAUCAGGAAACACUAAGGUUUUAAUACACUUGUUAAAGCAAAAAAAAAAAAAAA